rnacentral:rRNA from 1 species
GUCGUACGCUUCUUUUUCCACCGGAGCUUGCUCCACCGGAAAAAGAAGAGUGGCGAACGGGUGAGUAACACGUGGGUAACCUGCCCAUCAGAAGGGGAUAACACUUGGAAACAGGUGCUAAUACCGUAUAACAAUCGAAACCGCAUGGUUUUGAUUUGAAAGGCGCUUUCGGGUGUCGCUGAUGGAUGGACCCGCGGUGCAUUAGCUAGUUGGUGAGGUAACGGCUCACCAAGGCCACGAUGCAUAGCCGACCUGAGAGGGUGAUCGGCCACAUUGGGACUGAGACACGGCCCAAACUCCUACGGGAGGCAGCAGUAGGGAAUCUUCGGCAAUGGACGAAAGUCUGACCGAGCAACGCCGCGUGAGUGAAGAAGGUUUUCGGAUCGUAAAACUCUGUUGUUAGAGAAGAACAAGGAUGAGAGUAACUGUUCAUCCCUUGACGGUAUCUAACCAGAAAGCCACGGCUAACUACGUGCCAGCAGCCGCGGUAAUACGUAGGUGGCAAGCGUUGUCCGGAUUUAUUGGGCGUAAAGCGAGCGCAGGCGGUUUCUUAAGUCUGAUGUGAAAGCCCCCGGCUCAACCGGGGAGGGUCAUUGGAAACUGGGAGACUUGAGUGCAGAAGAGGAGAGUGGAAUUCCAUGUGUAGCGGUGAAAUGCGUAGAUAUAUGGAGGAACACCAGUGGCGAAGGCGGCUCUCUGGUCUGUAACUGACGCUGAGGCUCGAAAGCGUGGGGAGCAAACAGGAUUAGAUACCCUGGUAGUCCACGCCGUAAACGAUGAGUGCUAAGUGUUGGAGGGUUUCCGCCCUUCAGUGCUGCAGCUAACGCAUUAAGCACUCCGCCUGGGGGAGUACGACCGCAAGGUUGAAACUCAAAGGAAUUGACGGGGGCCCGCACAAGCGGUGGAGCAUGUUGGUUUAAUUCGAAGCAACGCGAAGAACCUUACCAGGUCUUGACAUCCUUUGACCACUCUAGAAGAUAGAGCUUCCCCUUCGGGGGCAAAG